AACCUGUUUGUUUAUUUUAAAGGCUUCAUUAAGGGUUGAUAAUGUACCAUUGUAUGGGGCAAUUUUGAGUCUGCUAAGGCAAUAUCCUUAUGCAUGAACAUUUCCCAGACUUCCCAUGAAGCUGUUGAGAACCUAGACAAUUGAUUCAGCAGUUGUGAUAAAUAAAAACUAUUCACUUAAGUCUCCUUUACUUCAUAACAUAGUUACUGACAUGAUAGGCAGCUCUCAGCUUGGGGAAAGAUAAUGAGAUUUAGAUACUAGUACAUGGACUUAAAGUGGCUGAAACAAAUUGGCCGACAUCUUAAACUGACAACCCUACCUUCCUCUGUAUCUUUCAGGAUUGUUCAACUAAAGUUUAUUUUUCCAAAAAAAAAAUGUAUUUCACAUUAUUGUACUUAACUUGUCAGUGUUCCAGAUGUAUCUUAGCUAAAACUAAAACUAGUGAAUGCCCUAACUUUAGAUGGUUUUUGAAGCCUAUACAUUUGGUAUUAUUUGGCCCUUAAGCUUUUCCAUCUCUUAGCAUGGAGGAUGAAGAAAGCUGUACAUUGUUGCUUGAGAGUCUGUACACCAGAUUUGUAUUUGCACUGUCAGUAUGGCAAAUGAGUGAAAAGAUGUUAAUACACUAUUUGGAUUUUU